UAAUACGGGGGGGGCUAGCGUUGUUCGGAAUCACUGGGCGUAAAGAGUGCGUAGGUGGCCUAGAAAGUUAGAUGUGAAAGCCUGGGGCUUAACCCCAGAAUUGCAUUUAAAACUCCUAGGCUAGAGAUCGGUAGGGGACAGUGGAAUUCCUAGUGUAGAAGUGAAAUUCGUAGAUAUUAGGAGGAACACCAGUGGCGCAAGCGACUGUCUGGGCCGAUACUGACACUCAAGCACGAAAGCGUGGGGAGCAAACAGG
rnacentral:rRNA from 1 species